rnacentral:tRNA from 1 species
GAGAACGUAGCUCAGUUAGUAGAGCAGCUCGCGUCUCCGGACGCUUUCCGUUUCCAUCCCUUAUCCGUCCACAAAACGGGUCGAAGGCAAACGGUUAUCGACUCUUAAUCGGCAGGUCGGGCGUGCGAAUCGCCCCGUUCUCC